AUAAAUCUGCGGUGUACGGAGUUCGGCAUAAACGCAAUCCACGUAUUAAAAUCGGGAGUUCUUAUGGUUCGUGGCGAUAGGCAAGGUCUGUAUUUUCGGAAAGUCCGAUGCGUCAAGACGGGACACCCACCUGCUGAAAGCGGGUUGACCUUACGUCGAGGUGCGGCACAGGCGGAUUUAAC
rnacentral:other from 1 species